GACGAACGCUGGCGGCGUGCUUAACACAUGCAAGUCGAACGGAAAGGCCCUGCUUUUGUGGGGUGCUCGAGUGGCGAACGGGUGAGUAACACGUGAGUAACCUGCCCUUGACUUUGGGAUAACUUCAGGAAACUGGGGCUAAUACCGGAUAGGAGCUCCUGCUGCAUGGUGGGGGUUGGAAAGUUUCGGCGGUUGGGGAUGGACUCGCGGCUUAUCAGCUUGUUGGUGGGGUAGUGGCUUACCAAGGCUUUGACGGGUAGCCGGCCUGGGAGGGUGACCGGCCUCAUUGGGACUGAGAUACGGCCCAGACUCCUACGGGAGGCAGCAGUGGGGAAUAUUGCACAAUGGGCGGAAGCCUGAUGCGGCAACGCCGCGUGCGUGAUGACGGCCUUCGUGUUGUAAACCGCUUUCGCCUGUGACGAAGCGUGAGUGACGGUAAUGGGUAAAGAAGCACCGGCUAACUACGUG
rnacentral:rRNA from 1 species